rnacentral:rRNA from 1 species
CCAAUAGCGUAUAUUAAAGUUGUUGCAGUUAAAAAGCUCGUAGUUGAAUUUCGGGGUUCAUACGUUGGUCGGGCUAUUUGGUCUGUACUUAUGUAAUGGAUUCCUACCUUCUGAAUAACCGGCAUGCCAUUAAUUUGGUGCGCCGGGGAAGCAGGACUGUUACCUUGAAAAAAUUAGAGUGCUUAAAGCAGGCUAUCGCCUGAAUACAUUAGCAUGGAAUAAUGAAAUAGGACGGCAUGGUUCUAUUUUGUUGGUUUCUAGGAUCACCGUAAUGAUUAAUAGGGAUAGUUGGGGGCAUUAGUAUUCAAUUGUCAGAGGUGAAAUUCUUGGAUUUAUUGAAGACUAACUUCUGCGAAAGCAUUUGCCAAGGAUGUUCUCAUUAAUCAAGAACGAAAGUUAGGGGAUCGAAGACGAGCAGAUACCGUCGUAGUCUUAACCAUAAACUAUGCCGACUAGGGAUCGGACGAUGUUAAUUUUUUAAUGACUCGUUCGGCGCCUUACG